UUUGCUUCUCGGCCUUUUGGCGAAGAUCAUUUGUAGUAUCUGUUCUUAUCAGUUUAAUAUUUUUAAAAACUUCCAAAAGCUUGAUUCUGCCAUUUUAUGUAAUGGACAGCAUUU
ensembl:snRNA U2 U2 spliceosomal RNA